rnacentral:rRNA from 1 species
AAACAAGAUACAGGCUAGCGGCGGACGGGUGAGUAACACGUGAGUAACCUGCCUUUUACACAGGGAUAGCCUCGGGAAACCGGGAUUAAAACCUGAUGAAACUAUCAAAUCACAUGAUUAAGAAAGUUAAAACUCCGGUGGUAAAAGAUGGACUCGCGUCCCAUUAGCUAGUUGGUGAAGGUAACGGCCCACCAAGGCAACGAUGGGUAGCCGGCCUGAGAGGGUGAACGGCCACAUUGGAACUGAGAAACGGUCCAAACUCCUACGGGAGGCAGCAGCA